GUCUUAUCUUGUCUUGUUGUUUCUAGUGCUAUCGCGUUCCUUGAUCCACUUAGUCUCAUUCUCUCGUAGCUGUCUGAAAGCAAUGAAGAAUUUAGUUAUUUUCUGUGUUUUGUGUUUGACAUUGGAUUUUGUAGCCGGUGCCCUGAAGGACGACUGCACGGUGGACGCCGACUGUCAAUGCGCCGCGGGGACGUUCCCGCACUGUCACCACGGGAAGUGCUACUGCCACCAUAGUACCCACGAAUGCCACCACCCGGACGAGUGCGCGGCCUGUGAUGUUGACCACUACCCCACCUGUGACCAUCACCUCUGUCACUGCCACCCCACAACACCCCACUAAACAGUGAAAUAUUAUCAAAGACAAAGAGUGUAUAUACUGUUCAAAUAAAUUCAUUCUGAAAAUAAAUAUGUGCAUGUGUAUAUAAAC